UCAGUUGCACACCCUGUAGCUGCCAAGGGGCGCAGCUUAAUUCCGCCCCUCGGCUGCUACAUUGUAUGCUACUGAAU
rfam:Bombyx mori DNA, contig: Bm_scaf66_contig30155, strain: p50T/Dazao, build 2, whole genome shotgun sequence.